rfam:Trichosporon oleaginosus strain IBC0246 unplaced genomic scaffold CC85scaffold_40, whole genome shotgun sequence.
GUUCGUUUAGCUCAGUGGGAGAGCGUUCGCUUCACACGCGAAAGGUCGUGAGUUCGAAACUCACAACGAAUA